CUGCUACCUCAGAGUGGUCUUUCAGUUCCUUCAGUCUUCUGAUGGCAGACUUCACUGUGACUACAGAGGUGAUGUUG